AUGCCCACCCCUAUUAACCGUAAUUUGUUGCUCUGUGCGCUCUGUUUUUUGUUUAAGCUUGUUGCUACAAAGAGUGAGAUUAUCGAAUUGUUUGAUGGUGUUCUCCAUUUCUCUAUAGGUUAUCAAACUCUCCACAACUUUGCUGAAUUCUUCCCGCAUUGUCUUUGUACCGGACCUUGUCCUAGGUGGUUGAUACAUAGUCGGUGAUUGCUCGAGUAAUUACCCGAUACACUUAACCGAAAGGUAGUAUAUACGGGGUCGAUCGACAAGAACCAAUGGUACACUAAAGAUUUCCGAGACUCGUUUUUAGCUAAAGCGGAAAGGUUGUUUGUUUGGUUUUCAGAUUGUAAAAUAAAAAUGCAAGUAAUUUAAACGAUUAAACUUAUGGAUUUAAAGACAUUGGGCCAUAGGGUAUUUCAGAGAUCAAUAAAUAAUGGAAACAUGAGACAAAGAAUUCAACAAAGAUGACCAAGUUGUUGUGUUACUUGAUCCUGAAAGACAGUGGGAAGGCGAAACUCUCAGUUUCUUCCACAUGUAGAUAGAUUUCAUUUGGUUGCGUUCAUGACAUUGACGACCUUGUAUCUGUCUCUUAUCAACUUUGAAUGUCCUUUGUUCAUAAUGCAGACCGGACCCUGGAGUAGAUACCGAGCUAUGCUCUUCCACAGGAUAAUUCAAAAUGGCUUGAACCUUGGUUUGGUGCCUUCCGAGGAGGUUCUGCACAAAAUUUAUUUGAUUUUGUAGCAAAGUCCUGAGAGGAUCAGUUGUUUAUUUGUGCUUCUUCAUGCUAUAACUGAUACAGCGAGAGGAUCAGUUGUUUAUUUUCCCAGUUUGGCUUCCUGCACCAACUCUCUGUCUCUGUCUUCUCUUGAUGAGACCACUGGACCAGACAGCAUAGACACCCUGCUGUUAUACCGAAAAACAGAAAAGGCUUGCUGGAAGAGAGUGGAAUCGGAAUCGUAGAAUUGCUUCAGUUCUCAACGUCUUGGGAGUUACUACUCUUCUUGCUCAUCUUCCUCUUUGUUUCAUUUGAGAAAAUCACAAGGGUUUCAAUGUACAAGGUCGAUUGAUGUUUGCGCUUUGCUCUACAAACUCAGAAGCCUCUAUUGAUGAAAUUGCAGAAUGCAGAGGCUUUUGGAAGACUCAAAUGAUGAUUGGUGGUGAGGCUACCUCGCUAGUGUAUCAAUUGUUUUCUCAAAAGCUUUAGAUGUUGAAAUAAGCUUCUUAGAGCAUGAAUAUUGGUUGAAAUGUUGAGUAUGUUAGACAAAUCUUAGCAUUAAAGUUGAUUAAAAAUAAUCAAACCAACAUCUUAAAGUUAAGAUUUGUAUCUAA